AAUGUUUUUGUUGAGUAAUGAUGGAAGACAAGGAUUUGUAAGUUUCACAAUAUGGAUUUUGUAGUAUUGCCUUUCCUGCAAAUGCAUUGCCUGUGGAAGUUGAUGGAUAACCAACGGCCAUUGUAAAGGAUUGUUAAGAUGCUUAAUACAAAUUUUGUAGUACCACUCUAUAUGAACAUUUAUUGAAUCCCUCAAGUUCAUUGUUUUUCUAAUCUAAUCUUCUAUUUUUCAUUGCAGACUAAACGAACUACAGGAUUAUAGGUUGUGAGUGUUUUGAGGAUUUUCUUCUAAGGUUCUCUCCUGUCCUGUUGCCUGGGUUCUGUUUUUUAUGUUUGUUUUUGGAUUAUUUUCUUCUCCCGAAGUUACUUAGUUCCAUGCUCAGCAGAGUUUGGAAGCUCUUAUUCAUUAGAUAAGCAUGCAUGCUUCAUACAUGUGCAUAUAUGCCUAUGAAUCUUUGUUUGUUUUGGCUUUGGAAGGUGGGGAAUAGUUUUGCAUGUACUCGUAGUUGUGUUUUCACAACAUACGCAUGCACCUGUUUCUAUAUUUAGAAAUGUCGUUGUAACCCGUAGGAAGUUAAUGAAGUACAUAGUGCUAGUUGGGCUAUUUUUGAGUGCCAGUUACAGGCAAGUUUCUUGCCAAGUCGAUCGUCUGUGAGUUACUGCUGAGUCUACUGCUAUAACUAUUGGGAUAUUUAGUUAAAGACUAAUUCGUGAAAAAUAAAAUUCCCAAACUUGCAAUGGUGUCGCCUUUUGAACUUCAUGCAGACACCAGAAUGAUGUGGCCAUUCAGUGUUUUGGCUGGCACAAGAUUUUAAAAAGUUGUCUGAAAUUUCAUAACAUGUUUGGAUUUGGACUGACACACAAUAACCGGUAUUCGGCUGGUUCAUUCGAGGAUAGUAAAGCAUGUUAUCAUAACUUCUAAAUAAAAUAUUUGCUUUCUCCAUUCAAAAAUAACUGAUGCAUUCAUAGGAAUGCUGUUCGUUAUACUACUAUAGUAAAAGUGUUUGGUCCAUUUAUUUACCUCAGGUUAUCGUAAUAAAAUAUUUGUUCUCUUCAUUGAGAUGGCACCGAUCGGCGAUAAGAUGAGAUAAAGUAGAUUUAGGUGGGCUGGCCAUAUGUAUUACAAACCCUAUGCAGCACCUAUUAGGAGGUGCGAGUUAGUUGAAGAGGAAAGCUCAAAAAGGGCAAGGGGUAGGCCAAAAUGAUAUGGUUGGAAGUAGUGAGCAAUUAUUAGAUUGCAUCCUUAUAUAAACUUUUCCUUUGCAUGCAGUUGGCAUACAGAUGCAUUCGUAGAUGUAGAGGUAAGGUGCAUCUUCAAAUUUUAUCAUGAUGUAUAAUUUUGAUUUAAAAUAUUAUUAGGAUUAUCUCACAAUCUAUUUUUAUAUCUAAUUAUAAAAUUUUAAAUUUAAAAAAUUAUUAAAGUCAAGUAGAUCUAUAAACAUAUGAAAAUAUUGAAAAUGGACGGUGUAGAUAAUAUACCGUAAAAUGCACUAUUUAUGAGUCUUAAAAUUUUUUUAUUUUUAAUAGAUGAUCAAUCGAAGGGUUUUUCAACAUUAAAAGUACAUGUUUUCGAGGGAUUUUUUAGGGGCAUUCCGUAGUUCUGCAUUAUGAGGUAGCAUCCUUAAAUAAACUUUUUCGCCCCUCAAAACCCUCGCAUUUUUCUCUCCACUCUCGCGCUAAGAGGAGCUCUCUCUCCUCUCUCUAAAAAUCCUUCACUAACUAAUGCACUCCUCUCUUCUCUCUCUAAAAUUCUAAAACCUCCCUGGAACUACUGCGCACUGUUUCCCUUCACUCUCUAAAUUUGAGAUUUAUAUCUCUCUCUGCCCAUUACACCUGUGGCCAUCUCUCUCUCCUGUCUCGCUCAUCUCUCUCUCUCUCCUCUCCUCUCCUUUUAUCACCUCGACUUCCGCUCUCUGGGAACCCUAAACUCUCUAUCCUCGCUCGAAUACAUCCCCCCAUUGUUUUUCCUUACGCACAGUUACACAAGGUAUGUCUCUCUCUCUCUCUCUGAACAAAUAAGGACUGGUUUUGACAACGAAGAAAAGCGUCAAAUAUUAUUUUGCUGUAUAGGAUCAAAUAAGAAAACGAAGCACAAAAAGAAAUAAGAGUAUCAACUAUACCAUUUUGAUUAAAGCAUGUUUUAUAUUUUGUUACUUAUGUACUGAUUUUCAAAUUUUUUACUGUUUUUUGCAGUGUAAAAACAAGUCAGAACACCAAAUAAGAACACCAAAUACACCCAUUUUGAUAAGAAACCAGAUUUUAUCGUUGUUGCUGAUUUUAUAUUGAUUUGGCAUCCACCACAGUGCUUCUUUUUUUUACUGAUUUUUCAAUGUUCCCAAAUCUCUGCUGGUUCUUUUUUAUUAUUUGUUGCUGAGCUCUUCAUUUGCUAAUAUUUGUUGGUUGCAUUAAUAUGCUUCUCUCCUUUUUUGUAUAUUGUUCUCCUUUUCUGUUGAUUUUUUUAUUGUUUAAUUGCAGCAUAUUUUGAAGUUUUUAUUUGAAUUUUUUAUUUUGAAUAUUUGGAUCGGUCUCUCUGUUAUAAUAUGUUACUGAUUCUGGUCAUUUCCAUCACUCUAUGACAUUGUUUAGUGUUGGGGAUCUCGUGGAUUCAAGCAUUGUUGCAUGUCAAAUUAUUGGAUUAUUCUUUAGAUGGGAUGAUACAUUCCAGACCUUGGUCUGCAAUUUUAUAUUUUUGUUCCGAACAUUUGCUCUGUCACUGUAUCUGUUAAUGAGGUACUGAUUUUGUUCAUUUCAUCAGUCAAUGCAUAAUCUAGGUUUUGGGGUCAUUUCUGUAGCAAAUUUUAGGUUUGCUCAUGAGAUUGGAUGAUAUAUUUGCUACAGUCCAAGGGAGCGUCUAUUUGCAAUGGCACUUCUCUAGUGCAAUGGCAAUUCUUUACUCUUGAACUCAAGACUGUGUCCGUUAACAUGUGCAGAUUUGUUUGAUUUUAUGGACAUCUUGAGAUUUGUGGAUCCAUUAAUGCGUGCUUUUACAUUUUUUGGGAUAUUUCACGACUCUAAUUUCAUCUUAGGUCAAGUUCUUGGUUUAUUCGAAAGCCUCUCUAUAUUUCACAACUCUAAUUUCAUGCUUGGUUUCUUGGAGCACAAAAUCAAUAAUUUUCAUUAACAAUCAUGGUUUAUUCGAAAGCCUCUCUAUCUCCCAUGAAUAAUAGUUCCAAACAUUUUAAAUUUACACAAAAAGGUUCUUGAUCUUCAUGUACUCUGGUUUCUAAGACCCUCUCAUUGGUUUGAUAAAAGAACUAGUUCUUGAUUGAAUUCUGUGAAAUUGCUUUCUGAAAUUGCCUAUGAAAUUGUUGUAGUUUGAUACUCACCUAUGAAAUUGUUGUAGUUUGAUACUCAUAGGUCAUGUUAGGGCCUGAAUUGUAUGACUUUUAAUGGUUUUCUAGUUCUUAGUUUUGACUUCAUAUCCAUCAGGUCUGGGGACUGGGUUACCCCCUCACCCCCCACAAAAAAAAUAAAAUAAAAAAUGUUAUCAUUAAAACAUCUGUUCCCAACACGAAUUCGGUAUGGACCUAGAUGAUGCAUGGUUCGAUUUCAAGCCACUCUAUGGUUGUCACCUGCAGAGUGAGUUUUUCAACUUACUCGGUGCUUAUGUCAAGAGAAUAGUCCUCCCUCUCAUAAGUAUCUUGAGCAUUCGAAUUCAUGGCCUUAAAAACCGUUCAGCUCAAGGAGAGCUUAGCUUUAAUCCACGGGCUAAAUUCAAAUUUUGAUUCUAUUUCUAGUUGUCAUAAAACAUGAUCACUAGUCAUGCUCUAUAUACUAUUAAUAAAUAUUGUUGGUGGGAUAUGUUAUAGGGAGUUACUUGAUUUCAUUUAAUAUCAAGCUAGUUAGUGUAGAUGGUGUAAGCAAUGACUAG
rnacentral:lncRNA from 1 species